UGGGGAAUAUUGGACAAUGGGGGCAACCCUGAUCCAGCCAUGCCGCGUGAGUGAUGAAGGCCUUCGGGUUGUAAAGCUCUUUUGGCGGGGACGAUGAUGACGGUACCCGCAGAAUAAGCCCCGGCUAACUUCGUGCCAGCAGCCGCGGUAAGACGAAGGGGGCUAGCGUUGUUCGGAAUUACUGGGCGUAAAGCGCGUGUAGGCGGUUUUCCAAGUUGGGUGUGAAAGCCUUGGGCUUAACCCAAGAAAUGCACUCAGUACUGGAAGACUAGAGGACCGGAGAGGAUAGUGGAAUUCCCAGUGUAGUGGUGAAAUACGUAGAGAUUGGGAAGAACACCAGUGGCGAAGGCGGCUAUCUGGACGGUUUCUGACGCUAAGACGCGAAAGCGUGGGGAGCAAACAGG
rnacentral:rRNA from 1 species